rnacentral:rRNA from 1 species
AACGAACGCUGGCGGCAGGCUUAACACAUGCAAGUCGAACGGUUGUAGCAAUACAGCAGUGGCGAACGGGUGAGUAACGCGUGGGAAGAUACCGAGAAGUGGGGAAUAACUCCGGGAAACUGGAGAUAAUACCGAAUACGCCUGAGAGGGGAAAGAUUUAUCGCUUUUCGAUUAGCCCGCGUGAGAUUAGGUAGUUGGUGGGGUAAUGGCCUACCAAGCCGACGAUCUCUAGCUGGUCUGAGCGGAUGAUCAGCCACACUGGAACGGAGACACGGUCCAGACUCCUACGGGAGUCAGCAGUGGGGAAUAUUGGACAAUGGGCGAAAGCCUGAUCCAGCCAUGCCGCGUGAAUGAUGAAGGCCUUAGGGUUGUAAAGUUCUUUCGCCGAUGAAGAUAAUGACGGUAGUCGGAGAAGAAGCCCCGGCUAACUUCGUGCCAGCAGCCGCGGUAA